rnacentral:lncRNA from 1 species
AGGAGUGCUCUAAUCCUCCUUUCUUUCCCUGGGGUUCUUUGUCAGUCACAUAAGUUGUCCAGCCUCUUUCAGCGCGGUACUGCCUGGACACUCGCAGUGGGAGCAGAUGGUAGGAGGGGAUGCAGCUUUUUUAGGCAGUUCGUCACCUCCUGUGUCUUCAAGACCUUUAAAGCAAAGAUACUUCAAAACACUGAAACAAAACUGACGGCAGUGGUGAAUCCAUUACCGAGGCUUGGGCAGAGCUCACCUUACCUCAUUUGUCUGCAAAAAAUUCCUGCUUGUGAGUUCGACUCACUGCUGAUCCAAAUUUCUAAUCUCUCUCUCAGUAUUGUAGCCGUUGUUUGGUGGCCUUUUUCUAAUGUGAGUCUCCUAGCAAAUUUUUGUGCUAUAAUACAAGUUAGUUAUUUGAAGAAUUUGAGUUCUUUAGUUGCUCUGAGACUUCUGGGUAUAAUACCCUUGCUGCCUUGAAAGGUUAAAUUGUGACUGCACUAGGGAGAGAGAAAAUAUUUUGGUGGAGCUGUGUGUAAAUGAUUUUGACAAACCAAGUCUUUAAAAGACCAAAAGCAUAUCGACUGUGGUUUCAAAAGUGAUACAAAAAUAUUUUGUAUUGAAAGCGUAGUUCCCAUGUUUGUCUUCUGAUUCCAAAUUACUGAACUGCUUCUUGUAGCUAGCAGGUUUAAAUAAUGCUUGCUGAGAAAGGAAGAGGGCUUUCAUGGCUUUUCUUAAGUGAUGUUUUUGUAGUUCCCUCUAGGUAGACCUAAAUUUGCAUUCUUUUCGUGAUCACUUCUUGUUUUGAAACUGUAGCUCAGAAGGAGGCAAGGCCCAAGCACUGUUUUAGGUCUCUACAUCCAGCUUCAAGGUAAAAAUCGUGUUCGGCCUUGCAAAAUGGCAGUAAGGAGCAGUUUUUGUCCCCCACUGCUCUAAGUGAUCCUUCAGAACUCUGUGGCUUACGCACACCAAUGCCCAGUGCUUAGCCAGACUAGGAUUUUUCAGGAAAUUGAUAUGGAAGCAUACCAUGUCUGCAGGUAUCUGCUAUUUAUCAAAAGUAUCUGGGGAAAAAAAAGUAAUUAUAUAUGUGUAUGUAUAUUUGUGUAUAUAUAUACAUAUAUACACACACACAUUUUAAAGAGAAAAAAAUCACAGAUAUACUUUAUUUUGAAAAUAGCAUGUAUUGUCCAGUGUUCUUCAUUCUAGGAUGUUGUUCCCUGAGGGAUCAGGGAAGAUGUUCUGAAUUAAUGUAGGUGAUGGUUUCUUUGUGUUGGAUACCUACAGUAGCUGUCGACAUUCUGAAGUUCUGGUAUUGGUCUUGAUUGUGCAGGGCUUUUGUGUUUGUUUGCUUUUUUUUUUUUUAACGAACUUGCUAUGUAAAGAAAUACCAAUAAAUUGCUACUUUUUGUUGUUUAAGUUUUUUUU